CUGCAACUCGACUCCAUGAAGCUGGAUUCGCUAGUAAUCGCGCAUCAGCCAUGGCGCGGUGAAUACGUUCCCAGGCCUUGUACACACCGCCCGUCAAGCCAUGGAAGCCGGGAGUGCCUGAAGUGUGCAACCGCAAGGAGCGCCCUAGGGUAAAACCGGUGACUGGGGCUAAGUCGUAACAAGGUACC
rnacentral:rRNA from 1 species